rnacentral:rRNA from 1 species
GAUGAACGCUGGCGGCGUGCUUAACACAUGCAAGUCGAACGGUGAAGGCGGAGCUUGCUCUGCUGGCUCAGUGGCGAACGGGUGAGUAACACGUGAGCAAUCUGCCCCUGACUCUGGGAUAAGCGCUGGAAACGGCGCCUAAUACUGGAUACGAGCUGCGAAGGCAUCUUCAGCAGCUGGAAAGAACUUCGGUCAGGGAUGAGCUCGCGGCCUAUCAGCUUGUUGGUGAGGUAACGGCUCACCAAGGGGUCGACGGGUAGCCGGCCUGAGAGGGUGACCGGCCACACUGGGACUGAGACACGGCGCAGACUCCUACGGGAGGCAGCAGUGGGGAAUAUUGCACAAUGGGCGAAAGCCUGAUGCAGCAACGCCGCGUGAGGGACGACGGCCUUCGGGUUGUAAACCUCUUUUAGCAGGGAAGAAGCGAAAGUGACGGUACCUGCAGAAAAAGCGCCGGCUAACUACGUG